GGGUCUCAGCUGUGUAGCCCGUAGAACAACGUGCACAUGCACGGAAGAGUCGGGAUCAAAGCACGGAAGAUUCCUAUCCCCCCCGCGCCCCAAGAAGGGGCCCCUCAGGUCGAGGGGAUGCACUCCGGGAGCUGGGGGUCCGUCCUCCGGCUAGAUCUGGGAGCGGCAGGUGAUGGGGCGCGAAGCGAGGAAGGAGCGGCGGCUACACGCGGGACGCGGAACCCGUCCCAGGGCUUCCUUCUCUGCAGUUGAGCACCUUAACCACUCAGCCACUGCACUGAAAGGCCACCUCUCAUUCACCCAGCUGUAAAAUGAGUGCCUAACCCAUCUGGCUGAGGCAGUCAAAGGCGGUCAGAUGUGAUGCUGGCCAUAUCCCUCCCUUGUGUACUGCUGGCAACGAAACCGACAUGCCUUUACCACAUCAGCCCGAUGAGCUGUUGGGCUUGGAAGAACUUUGAACUUUUGACUUCUGUGGAGAAACCAGAAGAUGCAGCCUACCUCUCUCUGAUCUGCCCCUUGCAAUCAAGAGCCCCAUCUUCUAAAAUGGAGGAGGAUCUUUGGUCUCACCCAACAUCAUUGCAUGACAGCUGCUCUACACUUCCUCCCCUUCUCCAAAAUUAAAAUGU